AACGACGAUCGGCAAAGCAGAUGAAAGUCUGUGACGCAAAGCUACAGGGCCUGUAAAAUGGCAGCCAGUUGCAUGA
rnacentral:ncRNA from 1 species